AGAAGCGCCAUGACACGCAAUCUGCACACGUUUCUUUGAAAACAAGGAGGAGGAAGGGUUCAUUCAGCUUAGCUGAAUCCGGGCAGACAUGGAAAAGAAGAAAUGGACCUUUUACAAUAUUGAAUGGAUCUCAGAGAAGACAAUGAGGGAGGCUAUAGUUCUCUAGGACUGAGAGAACAGCUUAGCACAUGGGAUAGGAUUGGAUUGAACAUCACAGGCAUGAGUUCUCAGCCCAACCCUGCCUCAACUGGCUACAAGGCUUUGGACAAGUCCCUUGAGAAAUGGAGUCUGGGCCUAGAAGGAGAAGAUGGCUCCAAGAGUCCUUCCAGCCUCAAACUACCAGGCUAUUCUUCCAAUAUUUAGGCUAGAAAUACUUCAGUUUUCAGGAUCUAGCCUUCAGCUGCAACUGAUGGCUAAAAUGAAGGAGCACUUUAAUGAUUUAAGAAGCUAUUCAGUUGUCAUAAAAAAGUAAUUUUGUUUCUUCCAAAGCUCCAGAUUAGUAUGGAGAUUUUUCUGCUGAGUCUUAUUUUUAAAAGGCAUUAUGCACAUCAAGACUGACAUAGCCAUAAGGAAUUGUAGAAAUUUUAAUAUCUGUUGAUGUGGAUGAGAAACUAAAAUUUCCAUAUUUAAAACUGUCAUUUGACUUUUAAAUGGAUCACAUUAAAUUACUGUCAGAAAUGUUCAAUAUUUUCUCAUCUAUAUACGAUUGUUUCUUGGUAGAUGAAAGCUGCAAUCUGGUUUCUUUGGCUACAUGGCCAUUUUUUCAGUUUGUCCCCAAACUUGCUACCAAGCUUGUCC
rnacentral:lncRNA from 1 species